rnacentral:rRNA from 1 species
UGGGGAACCUGCCCCAUAGUCUGGGAUACCACUUGGAAACAGGUGCUAAUACCGGAUAAGAAAGCAGAUCGCAUGAUCAGCUUUUAAAAGGCGGCGUAAGCUGUCGCUAUGGGAUGGCCCCGCGGUGCAUUAGUUAGUUGGUAAGGUAAAGGCUUACCAAGGCGAUGAUGCAUAGCCGAGUUGAGAGACUGAUCGGCCACAUUGGGACUGAGACACGGCCCAAACUCCUACGGAGGCAGCAGA